rnacentral:misc_RNA from 1 species
UCCUCUCUCAAACCCCGUGUUUGGUGUUGGACCGCGUUCGACCGCCUCCAUGGCCAACUGGUCUCAAAGACAAUGACGGCGUCCCAGGGACCCUCUUCGCACUGAGCUUUCCGGAGCACGCGUCGAGUUUCAAGGACCCAGGGACCCGGUCGCCUCUAAAACUUUUUUCA